UCAGCGUUGUCCCAGUCUUCCAGAAUGGUGAUUGUAUUCUUAGUCUCCCAAGUCUGAAUCGUCCGAUCAGCGCCUGGUUGCCACAGAAUGUCGCCGGUGGCUUCUUUCAACAUGAACUUGAACUGGAUUGUUUUCCCCACAGAGGAAUUGCACUUUCGGGGUCCCAUAAGCCAAAUAUAGGAUCAUCUCCCACAACAAAAAACCGCUCGCCGAAUCGACAUUCUUUCUGUAUCUGGAAUUUGACAUGAACAGUAUUGGAUUCAUCUGCACAACAGAAUCAUUGACUUCAUCAGGCUAAGAUAUCACAACGAUCUCAAGCUUUGCAAGAUCAGCUGUAACUUACAUAUAUGUUCCUCCUGAGCCACAUUCUCCAUUUCUCCCUGCAUCAGUAAAAGUGUUUAGCCUGUUCAUAAAACCACCGUAAACAACAAUAUGAAGAAACCCAAAAGGGAAGGGGAAAAGACCUGCGAAUCAGCCUGGAUAUAAGAGAUAGCCUGCACAGUCUUGUUUCUGAGAGAUAAGAGUUCCGAGAAGCGGCCAUUAACAUGAUUUUUGGAAGGUUAACUUGGAGCCUGCAGAACUCGUUAAGGUUUCCAUCUCACUCAGUGCGUUACCCACUUCAAGUUACAACCCGGUAAGCUGAAACAUCUGUCUUUUCUUUCUAGUGGCUAUGCUAAAACACAGUGUGGUAUAUAAUGGCAUUGGAGCAGAUGGUGAUAAAUGAACGGAUCAGAUUCCACGUGGGGUUGGUUGAAUCUGGCUUCCAUUCAACUCAAACGUGAGAAUCUCAAGCAAAUUAAACAGUUUGCAUUUCGAGAGACUUCAUUAAAACGUCACCGUCGGUGGUCACUCUUUCUCAAUCCCCACCAUUCCCUUCAACGGUAGACAUUGCCACCUGUCCCACCUCAUUUUCCAAUUGGUUUUUUAGGGUUCAGGUUGAUGUUCUUAUCUUCAGCUUUUUGAAGAUUGCAAAGUCAUUGCUUUAGUGGCACUCCAGUAAUGGCGUAGGGGCAGAUUUUCAGCUCCAUGUCUGCUGUGUUCACAUGCAUUUUUUCCCGUGAAAGCAGAUAAGCAGUGGCAAUUAGUCUUUCUUUUCUGUGAGAUGGGCUGAAAAGAGUGUUGCAGGCCAGCUUAGCCUGGGCCCUACCGCAGUGUUUGGGCUCGGACCUUAAAGCCCGGGCUUUUUUCAUCUCAAGUUUAGACGUGCCCCAUCCCUGCAAGGGGGAGAAUUAUGCGGGUUUAAUAUGGCAAAGAGCUUAUUCCCACCUAAGUUUUGCUGUAUUUUCAAAGUCUUAUUUAUAAGGUUUUAAAAACCCAAAUAUUUAUCUAUGAACUGUUAACCUUAACUAAAACAGAGGGUAAAAUCGUUAUUUUGAUCACUAAACUCUAAAAUCUAAAAAUUUAUAUCAUUUUCUCCCAUCAGUUUGAAAAACAAACAAUUUCUCUCUAUCCAAAAGUUUAAAAAAUUUAUUUUUUUGCCAAAAGUUUUUUCUUCGUUCUUUAACGACAAGAAUCAAUUGUUGUCAUUGGCCGACCACCCUAACAUCUUCUUUUCUAGUCAUCAACCUUCCUAUCAAAGUAGGUUCAUUGAACAAAGGCAGGUCAUUUUCGUUCGACUAAGAGACGAAAAGUCUCUCUUUAGCCAAACAAAGACAAUUUGUCUUUAUCUGACCAACGGAUUGACAUUAGAAGAAUUGUCUGAUGUGGAUCUGUUAGCUAGAUGAAGACGAUUCUUCGGCUAAAGAGAUGAAAAGAUUUUUCAUCUCUUUGUCGGACGAAGAUAGUUUAUCUUAAUCCAACGAACCUAUUGCGAUGGAAAGGCCAACAGUUGGAGAAGAUGUUGUGGUGGUCGACCGACAGUGGUAGUGGAUUCUCGUCACCGGAGAAUAAAGAAAAAACUUUUGGGGGGAAAAUGAAUUUUUCAAAUUUUUGGGCAGGAGAGAAUGUUAGUUUUCAAAAAUAUGGGUGAAAAUAAUAUAAACUCUUAAAGUUUUAUGGUUUAGUGGUAAAAUGAUGAUUUUACUCUCUAUAACUAACGGUUUUGGUUAAGGUUAACACCCAUGAGUAGGUGUUUUGGGUUUUGAAAUAUUAUGAAUGAGAAUUUGGAAACACAUCAAAACUUGGAUGGGAAUAGGUCUUUUGGCAAUUAAUAUUAGAUUUCAAAGGGCUUGACCCACAGGGAUCAGGGGGUUGGCCUGUAUUAUUGAUCUGCUGAUUGAAUAUUUUAUUUUCAUGUAUAUUGGUGGAACCUAUAAUGCAACAAGUGUUUAGAAAUCUAGACAAAACCAGUUGGUCUUAUCUGAAA